GUGAUAAGAGAUACUGCUCAGCGCAGAGGUGCAUGCAAAGCAGCUUCACAACUGCCUUUUCCUCAAAGCCUCAGCAGCCCCACUUCUCUACCCCAAAUAACAAGAAUAAGGCCACCGCACUUCUCUACAUCUGGAGAACACUUUAAAAAAAGGUCAGUUUUUGAAUGUACAACUGAGGUUAUUGUUACUACUAGAGGCUCAUUUUUUUAUGUCCUCUGCUUUCUUACCUGGUGUUCUUCAUCCCUGACUCUGGCAAACACGAAGCUUUUGAGGGGCAAGGCAUCUGUAGCCAUAUACCUGUAUCACCACUGAUAAGCAUGCGGCAUCCUCAUUUCACAUGGAGAACCACUUCAGAGCAACUGCUUGAGAUGCUGUUCUUAAAUCAUGAAGUCUCAAUUGCCAUCAUUUGUCAAAUUCCUCUGUUCUCUUCUUUUCUAAAAAAAAAAACCCACAAAGCCACAAUGAACUUCCAUGCUUUGCUAUUUUCCCCCACCAGAAAUGUCGUGGCUCAUUUGCAUAUAUAAUGAACAGUAUUUAAUUACUGAUAAUAAUCCAGAACAAAAAAUUGCACCUGGCCUGACAACACAAGGCCAACUUGCUUCCUGAUGUGAUUUUAAAUGGCUGAGAUAUUAAAACACUGAAAAACGGGGUUUAUAAUGGAAAUACUGACAGACAAUUAACUAUAGAGAUGCUGCUCUAAUAAAUGGAAUAGCCCGUCGUAAUCUCUAGUUCAUAAAUAUGCAAAUACAAGGCAGAGGAUUUGCUCCAAAGGAUGUCUCUAUAAUUUUAACUGACCUUUACUGAUACUAAAUGAGCCUGUUGCUUCUGUUUUUAAGCAUUAAAUAGAAAGUACAGAGAAUCCAGUCUCUCUACAUUCAGCACCAUUCAUCUCCCAUCAGCACCAAUAGCAAAAUCCUCAUUACCUUCAAUAGUAAAAAAAUCUGGUCCCAGAACACACAGAAAGCAGGAUGUCUGGCAUUUAACUGAACUCUUGACUGUACUUGAUUUUAAUUCUGUUCUCAUCUGUGUUAAUUAUUAUUAUAUUAAUUCUUCUGUUUGGGAAAUUAAGCACGCGUUCGCCCCAUGUGUCAAAGAGCUUGACCUGCCAAAAUGCACUCACCCGCUCAGUGAUAAACAGGCCAUCAACACAAUGAAAUAAAUGUUGAAUUUUAUCCAGUUUCCUGUUCUGGACCAAAUGGAGGCAAAUCCACUGACUUAAUAUUUAAUAACCUAAAUGUAAUUUCUUUUUUGUGCCUCACAUUGCAGAGUAAAGAAUUGGAUGGCUAGCAGUUUUGCAUAUUCCCAACCCCUAAUUAUUUUAAGCUAUUCAUCCUGGUAUCUGUCCAUUGAUGCUCAGCCAAAUUGCCAGCAGGGGAGAGAUCUGUCCAAUCCAGGAGCUAAAUGAGUCACUGAGAGUCAAUCUGUUUUUUUCCCUUGCUGCUGGGAUUUCCUUGGGUCCUGGCCUCUCUCUGCUCCAAUCACACACACACAGCUUCAGGCGUGGGUCCUCUUUGGCUUCAGCUGCCUCCUGUCUCUCCGUGUCUGCUCUGCUCAUCACAGCUGUUGAUGGGUUCUCGCCGGCUGGCCACAGAAGACCAAUACUUCCAUCACACUGCUCAUACAGCUCUUGCUCUGGAGGAAAAUGAAGACAUCUUGGCCUUGUUGAAUUUGCUGCUGAAGUAAUACAUCAGAUGAACUAAGCACAGGAGCAGAGGACUUAAUAUUUCCUCAUCUAUCAUACAAAUACCUUAAGAAAACAGCAAGGAAGCUUCAAAUGCCCAGAUUCAGCUCUGCAACAUGCACUUUAAUCAAGUCGUUCAUGUGACUCUGCAAAGAUGAGAACAUGCUGUCCUCCUCACAGCUUGCUUUUUUACGCAAAGAGAGUUAUGAGAAUAAUUUUGGUAGAAAACAGCUUAUGAUCGGUCGGAUGAAGCACUGCCAGAGCUGAUGUCUGCAGUCACUUUCCCUCAGCUGAGCUAGCUGGGAAGGAGCAACUCAAUCCACUGCGAAGAUAUGUAGCCUCCAAAGCAAAGCACAGGCAAGGCCUGACUGAUCAGAGAUGGGCUUUGAGGGAGAUGAAUCUUCUGAGCAUUGCACUGAGUGCCUUUUGGAGGUGGGUGGGAAGCAAAGCCACCAAAGAGGCACUGUAGGAAUGAGGAGAGGAGGCAGGAUAAGCAGACAGCACAGUCCCACAAGAGGCCAAGGGUAAGCAUAAGGAACGAGCUGUGGCUGAAGAAAGUUUCACAGGCAACAGGGUAAAAUUCUUCAGUUCUUCUGGUUGUUUGAUUGGAGCAGGGGUCAGAAAUAUGGAUCUUUGUCCCUUUUCUUUAUUUAUUCAUUGCAAAGAAGGAGUACAUGACUCUCACUGCAAUUUCUCCUCUUAAAUAGAAUAACCUAGAAUACCUUGAUUUUUUAGCUAACCAGAAUUUUCAAAAGAAGUAGCUAAAAAUGCAAAACCACAGAACUGUGGAGCAGCACGUCUUGCCUUUCACAGAGAAGAGGCUUACACGUUUUUGGAAAUUAUGCAAUAGCAAUGGCUAUUAUUAUUGUAAAAUAAUCUACCUGAACAGGACACUUUAUUUACCGCUCACAGGCUUAAACAGUGGAAGUUCCACAAAGAAGUCAUGCAUGCAUCACAUUAUACCUCUUCAUGUGCACUGGCACAAAGAUAAGAACACUGAUUACACAAGUUGGAUUAUACAAUCUGUAUUUUAGCAUUUAGUAACCAAGGUAUUUGCUGAAACAAGUAGUAAAAGUGUGACAGACACCAAAGAAAUAAUGUUUUUCAUUCCAGCAGAGAAUUUGAUCCUUCAGUCUUCGCACAGACUUAUCAGAAGUGUGUGCAUAACAGGAAUGUUACGGCCACAUUUCUAGAUUCCUUGUUAGCCACAGCUGGACAAGAUUUUGGACUCCUUUCUACAUCUUGGAUCUUCUGGCAGUUUUAAUAAAGAAGAAGAAAGACAACUUUUUGCACAGCACCUUCCUCAGGAGAUAGAAAUUGCAGUUAUACAACACUCCCACAGUCACACCACUAUCAUCAAAAGGUGACUUUCAGUGAAAAGAGACGGCUGUGAAGACAGCUUCUUUGUUAGCGAACUCGUGCAAAUGCUGAACAGUGAAAUGCAAUUUGAUUAUCAAAAAAUCAAACCAGUAUGAACAUUUCGCAAACUGUGUUAUUCAAUUCAAACUUCUUAGCUCUCCUCUAUCAUUUCUUGGUUCUUACAUGUUGUGAAAGAGACAUAAAUACUUUUACUUUAAACGUUGAAAACCCUUCACAUCAGAGGUUACAUGAAUCAUCUAGCCUUUUCUAUUCCAAAAUGUUUCACUGAUCAUUCAUUAUUAACUGAGUAAAAUGAAGAUAGCUAUGAUAAAUGAAAAUUUAUCUCAAAGUAUUAGAAAGAAUAUGAAAACACCAUGUUCGUAAGUACUAACGUUUAGAUAACACAAGAGAGUCCAACCCCAGUUUUUUCACUGUCACAUACCAUAUGGCUCUUAAUAACUCAUUAUUACCAUUUUUUGCUGUUCCUAGGCACUGGUAGUAUCAACCUGGUCUGCCAUUGAGCAGAAAUGCAUUCCAACAGGAGAACAGUGAAGGGACUGGAUGUUGACGGACAGGAAGCCUGCUGAUAUCAAAGAUUAGAACCUAACACAUGUCCAGAUUUUUUCUUAGCAAUAUACAUUCUCUACAAAUUCUACAUAAAUGUAUGUCCUGCUCUUGAUGAGAACGCUCAGAUUAGAGAAGAAGAAGCCUGUGGCCCUUUGCAGAUCUGAGAGUAAGGUCUCCUGAGUAACAGAGUAACUUGUGCUUUGUGCACAAGGGUUUGUGUACAGAACUUGUAGAUACCAUUACAAAAUAGUCAUUUUCGAGCAACUUGCCACAGAAAUGAGCAGAGCCUAGAGAGGAACCUUGCUGACAUAGACAAGAUAAGAAUCUAAGCUACCUUAUUUCAUGAGUCAAGAUUCUGGAUACAUCUUGUUCCUUGUCAUGUGUCCUUUCAUACAGAAAGGACAGAAGGACUGGAUUGAAGUUAGGAGGGCUACUUGAGAUGUGCUCCACAACUGAAUAUAUUUAGAAAAAAGUUUUCAUGCCAUUUUACUUGUUUGCCACUUAAAAUGUUUGUUUGUUUGUUUGUUUCAUUGCUGCCCUCUUCAGCUCAGGUUCUCCAGGGUGGCAGGUCAGGCCUAUGGAUGAGGGAAGCAGACAGAGACAGAAGUUGUGCAAAGCUGGUCAUGGACUUAAUAAGGGCUUGAUUCCGUACCAACGAAAUCAACAGGAGUUUGGCUCAUGUUUGCAAUGGGAGGUGGAUCACCGCUUUAUGCCAGCUGUUCCCUGUUGGGUAGGGAUAAUCCCCUUGAAACAAAAUAUUUAACUUGUUCUCACUCUGUUGAUGUAAGAAGGCUUCUUGUGAUAAUGCUUUCAUGAGAAUUAAAAGGUGUGUCCCAUUUUUAAUGUCAAAUACCUCAUACCUCUAGUAUAUAUUUGCCAAUUCACACACAUACACAAAAAAUAAAAAAAUCCAAGAAAUGAGA